GAGUUUGAUCAUGGCUCAGGAUGAACGCUAGCGGCAGGCUUAACACAUGCAAGUCGAGGGGUAUAGUAGCAAUACUAGAGACCGGCGCACGGGUGCGUAACGCGUAUGCAACCUACCUUUUACAGGGAAUAGCCCAGAGAAAUUUGGAUUAAUGCCCCAUGGUAUAUUUUAGUGACAUCACUAGAUUAUUAAAGUUCCAACGGUAAAAGAUGGGCAUGCGUCCUAUUAGCUAGAUGGUAAGGUAACGGCUUACCAUGGCUACGAUAGGUAGGGUCCUGAGAGGGAGAUCCCCCACACUGGUACUGAGACACGGACCAGACUCCUACGGGAGGCAGCAGUGAGGAAUAUUGGACAAUGGGCGCAAGCCUGAUCCAGCCAUGCCGCGUGCAGGAAGAAGCAUCUAUGGUGUGUAAACUGCUUUUGUACGGGAAGAAACACUCAACGUGUUGGAGCUUGACGGUACCGUAAGAAUAAGGAUCGGCUAACUCCGUGCCAGCAGCCGCAGUAAGACC
rnacentral:rRNA from 1 species